rnacentral:rRNA from 1 species
CCUACGGGUGGCAGCAGUGGGGAAUAUUGCACAAUGGGCGCAAGCCUGAUGCAGCCAUGCCGCGUGUGUGAAGAAGGCCUUCGGGUUGUAAAGCACUUUCAGCGGGGAGGAAGGCGGUGAGGUCAAUAACCUCAUCGAUUGACGUUACCCGCAGAAGAAGCACCGGCUAACUCCGUGCCAGCAGCCGCGGUAAUACGGAGGGUGCAAGCGUUAAUCGGAAUUACUGGGCGUAAAGCGCACGCAGGCGGUCUGUCAAGUCGGAUGUGAAAUCCCCGGGCUCAACCUGGGUACUGCAUUCGAAACUGGCAGGCUAGAGUCUUGUAGAGGGGGGUAGAAUUCCAGGUGUAGCGGUGAAAUGCGUAGAGAUCUGGAGGAAUACCGGUGGCGAAGGCGGCCCCCUGGACAAAGACUGACGCUCAGGUGCGAAAGCGUGGGGAGCAAACAGGAUUAGAUACCCGGGUAGUC